AUUGAACGCUGGCGGCAGGCCUAACACAUGCAAGUCGAAUGGUAACAGGAAACUGCUUGCUGUUUCGCUGACGAGUGGCGGGCGGGAGAGUAAUGACCGUGAAACUUCCUGAUGGAGGGGGCUAAGUACUGGAAACGGUAGCUGAUACCGCAUAACGGCGCAAGACCAAAGAGCGGGAGCUUCGGGCCUAUUGCCAUCAGAUGUGCCCAGAUGGGAUUAGCUAGUAGGUGGGGUAAAGGCUCACCUAGGCGACGAUCCCUAGCUGGUCUGAGAGGAUGACCAGCCACACUGGAACUGAGACACGGUCCAGACUCCUACGGGAGGCAGCAGUGGGGAAUAUUGCACAAUGGGCGCAAGCCUGAUGCAGCCAUGCCGCGUGUAUGAAGAAGGCCUUCGGGUUGUAAAGUACUUUUGUCGGGGAGGAAGGGAGUAAAGUUAAUACCUUGGCUCAUUGACGUUACCCGCAGAAGAAGCACCGGCUAACUCCGUG
rnacentral:rRNA from 1 species